CGGGGAAUUUUAUCUUUUGGUUUUCCCGUGGGGUAGUAUUCAUGAUGUAGAUUAAAGUAUGUGUAUGUAUGGUUAUCAGGUAUUGCGGAUCCAUGGCUUCCAAUAAACGCAAGCGUCUAUUGUUAAUUACCCCUAUAGAAUAUUAGGGCACCUUCGAUUAAGAGACCUCUGAAAUGCUGAAGAUAAACUGGAAUUGGACAAAAGAAAAUUUAUAAUUUAUUGCUCAAUUACAUGGCUUUAACCAAGGGCAUACCCUCAGUGUACAUGAAUAGAGCGUAAAGAAAAUGUAUUUUUCAAUUGUAUC
rnacentral:lncRNA from 1 species